CCUACAAAAAAACUUAUUUAACACAAUGAAUAGUGCAUGAGGUUUGGUCAAAGGCUCAAAGCCAUUGUUCCAAGUCCCAACACUUAUCUUAAGGAAAAUUGAAUUUCCCUCUCAGAUUUACUAAUUUCUUUCAAUUUCUAAUUAUUUUCAUAUUCGAUCGUUAGGUUUCUCGUUAAUGAAGAAUAUGAAACAAAUAAAACAAAUGCAACGGAAGGAAGGCACGUGGUUUGAUGCUAUUAGGGUCUCAGAUGUCUGAUUAUUUGUGGGGAAUCAUUGGUCAUAUGUGCAUGUGCACUCUUCUUAGCAUCUAGGUCCACCAACUCCAAUAUUUUAUUCAAAUUAUAAGAUUUCAUUUUGUAUUUUUCUGUGUUUAAAUUUUAGUAUGUAAUUUGAAUUAUAAUCUCAUUUGUAACCAACGACAUAUCAUUUUCAGGGAUAAUUAUAUAGACAUUUACAUUUAGACUCAAGUAUGCAUACACAGCAACAGCAGCACAUGUGUAUAUAAGCAUAUAACAUUGUAAACGAAAGAUGCGAUUUUGAUUUUUAGGUAUACAAAAUGACGAUGGAGUAAUAAGUGAGAAAUACAUUUAUAUUGGAGAAGCAUGAUUGGUAAACUCAUGUUCUUUGAUUAGAAAUUAUAACUGGUAGGUUAUGUGAUAUUGCUUGUUUUAAUAAGGGAAAUUUGGACGCAUAUACAUAGUACGAUUUAUAUUGAGACACUAACCAAAGGUAAAAGCAUGAUAUGAUAUGUUACAUAUUAUAGCAAAUGUGGACAAAAUACCCUUACAUGCGCGUAGAAGGGUGAGAACAAUAUUUUUUUAUAUUCAGGAAAAACGAGAGGUCGCAAUCAUUUUGUUAAGAAUAGGUUUUCUCAUGAGAGAGGCAAAAUAUUAUUUAGGGAUUUUCGGAAGUAUACCUCAAUUCUGACGGCUACAAAAACAGGAAACGGUGGUUGAAAGGAGAAGCGGAGGCGCCGACAUAUGGAUUUCAAGUGUUAGGGUUUCCACGGAGAAGACGGCGUGGAGACAAAAGCGGCGAGGAAAGAUGAUAUUGCAGAGUAAGCUGUAGAAUCAGUUCGACGGGGCGUACCGGACGCCGGCGCAAGAGGGAAUUUGCGAAGAAGAAAGGAUGGAAGAAUUUGGUUUGCCGGAACAGUUGUAUCAGACAGGGUACAACCAAGCAGACGUAAAAGAAUUAAUAAUUACUUCAGUUUAAGGUAGAUAGACGUUAUCAAAGAAGCACUAUCUGAUGCACAGCAGGAGAUGUUAGCAGAAUCGCAAUUCCGGCUGAUAAUGCUAAUGGGGGGGGGGAUAUACCUUUUCAGUUAUGUUUGCACACCAGUUGUUUUUCCGUCAGUUGGUUACCCGGAAGAAGUAUGAACUAUGGUGUCGGUUUGCGGGAAAGCCAAUAAGGUAUGCAAUAGGGGACUUCGCUGUAGUGACUGGGCUUAACUGCGGAACUUGACGGAUGAUUCAUUAGCGGUUGCGCCGAAGUCAUAUGCAGUUGCUGCAUUCAUAGCUUUUAACCCAGACAAACUAGCGUAAUUCUAAAAUUAUUGGGUCUAUGUAUUAGUUACUUUCGUCUGUUGUUUUACUUAUAUAAUUUGCGGCACCAAAAUUGUUACUUUGGGCUCCCUAAGUUUCGGGGUUCCCACGCAGCGUCUAUGUUUUUCAACUGAAUCAUCUUACCUUCUUUCAUUUGGAUCUUUCAUUUUUAUGGUCUAA